rnacentral:tRNA from 1 species
CGUUAAGAAGCUGAACUGGGCAACAGCGUUAGCCUUUUAAGCUAGAGCUUGGUGACUCCCAACCACCCCUAACGA